AGUCGAGCGACUGAUUAGAAGCUUGCUUCUAUGACGUUAGCGGCGGACGGGUGAGUAACACGUGGGCAACCUGCCUGUAAGACUGGGAUAACUUCGGGAAACCGAAGCUAAUACCGGAUAGGAUCUUCUCCUUCAUGGGAGAUGAUUGAAAGAUGGUUUCGGCUAUCACUUACAGAUGGGCCCGCGGUGCAUUAGCUAGUUGGUGAGGUAACGGCUCACCAAGGCAACGAUGCAUAGCCGACCUGAGAGGGUGAUCGGCCACACUGGGACUGAGACACGGCCCAGACUCCUACGGGAGGCAGCAGUAGGGAAUCUUCCGCAAUGGACGAAAGUCUGACGGAGCAACGCCGCGUGAGUGAUGAAGGCUUUCGGGUCGUAAAACUCUGUUGUUAGGGAAGAACAAGUACGAGAGUAACUGCUCGUACCUUGACGGUACCUAACCAGAAAGCCACGGCUAACUACGUGC
rnacentral:rRNA from 1 species